AUGAGAAGUACGUAACAGUGGCUCUCCAGAGAUUAUUGGAUUACCAUUUCCACAGUCCCUCACUACUGGUUAUUUGUUGGCUGGGGUUAGUAGAAACUGGUUCAGCAACAAUGGAAGAGUCCUAUAUUCUCUACACUAGACAUACAAGAAGACAAUGAUUGAUGUUAUUUGACUCUAACUCCUAUCCAUCCCAAAUGGCACGUCAAAUUUUAAAAAACCACACAAUGUAACAUUCACCCAUCAUAAUAUGGAGAGGCAAUCUUUGGUAGAACCAUUUAUCUGAAGAAUUCAGGAACAUGGGAAGCUGCCUUUCAUUGAGUCAAACCAUUGGUCCAUCUAGCUAAGUAUUGUCAAUAUUAAUUAGAAGCAGCUCUUCAGGAUUUCAGAUUUGGAUCCCCGUCAUGGAAUUUCUGCCUGGAAGAUGCACAAUGGAAAAACAAGGUGAAAAUAUCCUGGAAAGGGAGGCAGUUUUACGGAGCUAAGGCUAGGAGAUGUCUGCCAUUAAUAGGGAAAAUGCUCUGUAAAUUAGACCACUGAAUGCAAAA